UCCCGGCUAGCUCAGUCGGUAGAGCGUCAGACUCUUACACAACAAGGGUUUCCGAGAUUGCCUCGGAGUUCAUCUGAAUGUCGUGGGUUCGAGCCCCACGUUGGGAG
rnacentral:tRNA from 2 species